rnacentral:rRNA from 1 species
AUUGAACGCUGGCGGCAGGCCUAACACAUGCAAGUCGAGCGAGCGGCGGACGGGUGAGUAAUGUCUGGGAAACUGCCUGUUGGUGGGGGAUAACUACUGGAACCGGUAGCUAAUACCGCAUACCAUCAGAUGUGCCCAGAUGGGAUUAGCUAGUAGGUGGGGUAAUGGCUCACCUAGGCGACGAUCCCUAGCUGGUCUGAGAGGAUGACCAGCCAGUCUGGAACUGGGACACGGUCCAGACUCCUACGGGAGGCAGCAGUGGGGAAUAUCGCACAAUGGGCGCAAGCCUGAUGCAGCCAUGCCGCGUGUAUGAAGAAGGCCUUCGGGUUGUAAAGUACUUUCAGAGAGGAGGCGUUAAUCGCAGAAGAAGCACCGGCUAACUCCGUGCCAGCCGCCGCGGUAAUUC